rnacentral:rRNA from 1 species
UACGGAGGGUGCGAGCGUUGUCCGGAAUCACUGGGCGUAAAGGGCGCGUAGGCGGCUCAUGAAGGCUGUGGUGAAAGUCCGGGGCUCAACCUGGGAAUGGCGAUGGAUACUGGCGGGCUAGAGUGCGGUAGAGGAGAGUGGAAUUCCCGGUGUAGCAGUGAAAUGCGUAGAGAUCGGGAGGAACAUCAGUUGCGAAGGCGGCUCUCUGGACCAGCACUGACACUGAGGCACGAAAGCGUGGGGAGCAAACAGG